rnacentral:rRNA from 1 species
AACGCUGGCGGCGUGCCUAAUGCAUGCAAGUCGAACGUGGCCCCUUCGGGGGACAACGUGGCGGACGGGUGAGGAACACGUGGGGAACCUGCCCAUCGGUGGGGGGUAGCCCGCGGAAACGCGGGGUAAUUCCGCAUACGCUGGCCUGGGGGUAGCUCAGGUUCAGGAAAGGGCUCUUCGGAGCUCGCCGAUGGAGGGGCCUGCGUCCGAUUAGCUAGUUGGUGGGGUAACGGCCUACCAAGGCUUUGAUCGGUAGCUGGUCUGAGAGGACGGCCAGCCACAGGGGGACUGAGACACGGCCCCCACUCCUACGGGAGGCAGCAGCAAGGAGUUUUCCGCAAUGGGCGAAAGCCUGACGGAGCAACGCCGCGUGGGGGAUGACACCUUUCGGGGCGUAAACCCCUUUUCUUGGGGACGAAGCAGUGACGGUACCCGAGGAAGAAGGCCCGGCUAACUACGUGC